GCCUGGGUGGCUCAGUCGGUUGAGCAUCUGACUUCGGCUCAGGUCAUGAUCUCGCGGUCUGUGAGUUCGAGCCCCGCAUCAGGCU
rnacentral:tRNA from 1 species